rnacentral:rRNA from 1 species
UCCCAGACUCCUACGGGAGGCAGCAGUGAGGAAUAUUGGUCAAUGGCCGAGAGGCUGAACCAGCCAAGUCGCGUGAGGGAAGACGGCCCUACGGGUUGUAAACCUCUUUUGUCGGGGAGCAAAGCGAGUCACGCGUGACUCAUUGAGAGUACCCGAAGAAAAAGCAUCGGCUAACUCCGUGCCAGCAGCCGCGGUAAUACGGAGGAUGCGAGCGUUAUCCGGAUUUAUUGGGUUUAAAGGGUGCGUAGGCGGACUGGAAAGUCAGCGGUAAAAUCGAGAGGCUCAACCUCUUUCCGCCGUUGAAACUGUCGGUCUUGAGUGGGCGAGAAGUAUGCGGAAUGCGUGGUGUAGCGGUGAAAUGCAUAGAUAUCACGCAGAACUCCGAUUGCGAAGGCAGCAUACCGGCGCCCGACUGACGCUGAGGCACGAAAGCGUGGGUAUCGAACAGGAUUAGAUACCCCCGUA